UACAGAGGUCCCAAGCGUUGUUCGGAUUCACUGGGCGUAAAGGGUGCGUAGGCGGUUUGCUAAGUCUGAUGUGAAAUCCCGCAGCUUAACUGCGGAACUGCAUUGGAAACUAUUUGACUAGAGGAAUGGAGGGGAGACUGGAAUACUUGGUGUAGCAGUGAAAUGCGUAGAUAUCAAGUGGAACACCAGUGGCGAAGGCGAGUCUCUGGACAUUUCCUGACGCUGAGGCACGAAAGCCAGGGGAGCAAACGGG
rnacentral:rRNA from 1 species